UACGAAGGGUGCAAGCGUUACUCGGAAUUACUGGGCGUAAAGCGUGCGUAGGUGGUUUGUUAAGUCUGAUGUGAAAGCCCUGGGCUCAACCUGGGAAUUGCAUUGGAUACUGGCAGGCUAGAGUGCGGUAGAGGAUGGCGGAAUUCCCGGUGUAGCAGUGAAAUGCGUAGAGAUCGGGAGGAACAUCUGUGGCGAAGGCGGCCAUCUGGAUCAGCACUGACACUGAGGCACGAAAGCGUGGGGAGCAAACAGG
rnacentral:rRNA from 1 species